GAGGCCCGCGUUCAAAGGAUGGACAUCAAAGCUGUUGAAUGAUUGAGAAUUUGCAGAGAUUAAAAAGGGCGGAUUUGGAUUAGGGAACAUUGAGCUGGCAUUGGAAACGGAGGCGGUAAUGAAUGAGGAUGGAGGCAAUGGUGCACAACAUGAACCUAUGGAAGAAAAUCAAGAAGAUGAAGGUGAUGAUCGGAUCAAGGCAAUGGAGGACAU